rnacentral:rRNA from 1 species
UAGGGAAUAUUGGGCAAUGGCCGAGAGGCUGACCCAGCCAUGCCGCGUGCAGGAAGAAGGCGCUACGCGUUGUAAACUGCUUUUUUUCGGGAAGAAAAAGCUUCUGCGGAAGUCACUGACGGUACCGAAGGAAUCAGCACCGGCUAACUCCGUGCCAGCAGCCGCGGUAAUACGGAGGGUGCAAGCGUUGUCCGGAUUCAUUGGGUUUAAAGGGUGCGCAGGCGGGACAUUAAGUCAGGGGUGAAAGACGGUUGCUCAACAAUCGCAGUGCCUUUGAUACUGGUGUUCUUGGGUGACGGUGAGGUAGGCGGAAUGGGUGGUGUAGCGGUGAAAUGCAUAGAUACCACCCAGAACUCCGAUUGCGAAGGCAGCCUACUGGUCGUUAACCGACGCUCAGGCACGAAAGCGUGGGGAUCAAACAG